GACUGCACCCGUCUCUUUGUGUGGUGGCAAAGCAGGAGUGACAGAGAGAGAGAAAAACAGAGACAGCGUGAGACAGAGAGAGAGAGAGAGAGAGACAGAACUGGAGACAGAACUCAAGCAAGUCACACCGACGCUCAAACUCCAGAAGAACUCCUGAGGUAUGGGCUGCCAGAACAGCGUGCCGGAUGACGACGACUUUGACCCGAAGCAGGAGUCGCGGGGCGGCUGUCCGACCUGCUGCCUGAAGACCAGGGACUGCCUGAUGAGCCGGGAGUGCGGGCGCGGGCUGCAGAUCGCCCAGGUGGUCGCCAUGUGCGGCAUGUGCCUCCGCUUCUUCGUGUAGUCGGGUGGACGUCCCCUCCCCCGCCCCCCCCCCCCGCCCCCUCCUGAAAAAGGCCCUCACCCCUCUGGAUGGCUGAUGUCAC